CCAUCUCCAAUCUCAGUAGUAUAAAACAACCAUCAUUUAUUUUCAUGUAUACUUCUGUAGGUUGACUGAUCUAGGUUGGGCUCAGUGGGGCUUGCCUGGGCGUGGCUCCAAGCUGUAGACUAGGUCAAGAUCUGCUCUAGGCGUCUCUCAUCUUUAGAUUAGCAGCCUAGCCAGGCCAUGUCCUCUGGGAUUGCAGAAGCACAAGAGGGCAAGAUUAACCAUGCAAGGUCAACAUUGCAAGCCUCUGCUUGUGUCAAAACUGCUAACAUCCCACUGGGAAAAGCGAAUCACAUACGUGGUCAAGUCUAUUGUCAGUGGGUGGGGGAAACCAUGCACUGCUCUCCACCAAGCUAAAGAAGUAGAAUGAACAAGCCCACCAGUCUCCAACAUAAAAAACCCACUCUUCUAUGGAGGUGGCAUGGGGGAAAGACUGAAAUGUUUUUAUACAAUUUGAUUUACCACAAAGUGAUUUUUUUGUAAAAAAUCAGUUACAUUUAUGCAUUAGUCAGUUUGUGGCACCCAGUCCUUCUGUUUCUUAUUUGAGGAUGUCAAGAAAUCCAUCACCAACCACUUCACUUGUCCAGCUAGUUGAACAUUGCAUUUUACUUAUUUAUUAAUGGUUUGGAACCCAUGAAAUAAUCUAUAUAGUAUUUCCGUAUGAAUUGGUCAAAGUACAUUGGUUAUUGCAGCUGGAUGGCAGGCAUGGCCUGAGUCACAGGUGCAUUGAGCGAUUGGUGGGCAGAACCACUUUCACGCUUUAAAUCCCCCUCCCGCUAUCUAUGACACUGACGUUGUCUGCCUACCAGCUGUUCCCCUUAUUUGAGCAGUGAUGCAGGUAAGAUAGGUGCCCGGGCUCUGUAGUGGACACUGUGGCAUGCUGCCCAGAUCCUCCGCUCUAAUACUGAGGCACUUAUUCCCCCAUCUGCUGGGAGCAUUGGCCGCUGACAGUACUCAACCGAGUCCCUCCCUCUUGGGGACUUGCCCUUGGCUGAAGAGCGCAACCCAGCCCGAGUACUGCAUCCAAUGACUGUAUGAAGUGGGAGCCCCAAGGUCCAGCCUCCCUGCCAUCCCGCCUCUAUACUCCUCCCCACUCCCCGCAGGGUGGGCGUCAGCUGAGACCUCUGAUGAGGCUGCAUUGCAGUUUGACUUUUCCCUUCCACCUGUCACCUUGAGAGCACGCUGCAGGAAACUUUCUGCAUGCACGUCUCCCCGUUGGGGUCUUAAUUCCUGAGGAACCAAACCCACAAGGCUCCUAAGUCACACAGAGCUGGGUUCGAGUGUUAAUCUCAAAUACCCACUAGCUAUGUGGCUUUAGACUUCGUGAAUCUGCUGUAAACCUGAAAGUCUCAGGUUUUUCAUCUCUAAAGAUGCAAUAAUAAUAGUAUCUGCCUCUUCUAAUGAUAGUAGAGGAUGAAGAGAAAUAAUGCAUGGAAAGCAGUGUGAAGCCCUUAGCAUGCUACCUGGCCCAUACUAGGUUUUGCCGAAAUGCAUUCUUCCCUUUUUACUCAGCCCUUUGCGGGCGUUUCCAGAAGCCGGCGUCCCCAUACCUGAGUAAAGCGGAAACGGACCUGUUGUGCUAUCUUGUCUCCAGCAGAUGGCGCCAGCGGAUAAGGCUGCAGUCUCGUCCAGCUUGGUUACAAGGUCCACCAUUGACAGAUUAUAUACAUCAGUUUUCCAUGCAUUAUCUCAUUUGAUUCUCCUUCAUCAACCAUUUACCAAGUGCUGACUGUUCUAUCAUUUAUUCUUUCAUCUCUUUGUCUUAAAUGCUUCCUGAGCACUUACUCCAGCCAAAGAGCGGCUUUAAAUCUCUUCUAAAACAUCAUGGUGACUAAGAAGCAAACAAGACAGAGAGGGAGAGAGAGAGAGAGAGAGAGGGUGGGACAGAGAGAGGCAGGAAGGAAGGAAGAAAAAUACGAUUCUGGAUUUGGAAAUGAAAAGUUUUAGGCACUACUAUUGGGCUUGUGCCAACUCGUUUGGAAAGGAGGCAGCUUUAAUAAAGUGGAAGAAGUACAUAAUAUGACUGAACAGAAUCAGGAGGCAGUGGUCCCUCUGCAGGAGCAGCUGAGGUGCUUCUAGAGGCCGUCUGCAGGCCUUCCCCAAGGCUAUCGAUCUGAGGGCAGAACAACUGGUCCCUGGGCUGGUUAAAACUGCCGUGUAGGGGCGCCUGGAAAGAAUCCAUAAAGGAGGUGUCAGAGUGCUUGGGAGGAGACAGCUAGCUGGCCUGGAGUCAGGAGCCCCAGACCGGAGUCAUUUCGCAGGUCUUCUGGUCAUGCUAGGAGGCACGCCUGGAAGCCACCAGCCCAGGACCCGGGAGAAGUCCAAUUCUGUGGUUGGGACAGAGGCUGCCCACCUCAAGCCUUCUUGUACCUGCUCCAGAACCGUGAGUGAAUGAAUGUGCUUUCCUGAAGGUCACCACACAGGGUUGUUGUUCGAGGAAAUGUAUAUACAGUGCCUGGUACGUGGGAAGCUCUCAAUAAAUGAUAACUAUUUAUUACUGAUAAAAAUACUACCACUACCGAUCAAUGGUUCUUACGAUCUUCUCUGAUGUAAUUGCUAAGAGCAAGGUUUUAUGAGAAAUACCCAAUGAAUCUACAGAGAAGUUUUAAUUAUUUGGGGAUUCCGAGAGGAUCCAGGACUCUGAAGGUAAAGAGAGAGAACACCAAGUUAGGGAAAGGGACACACAGAUGGACUCAGUAAAAUUUGUUGAAUGGGUGGCUCAGGGGGAUUCUCUUCUAACAGCAAGAGUUGCAUUCAUGGUUCCAAUAAGCAUUUAUGGAGACCUACUCUGAGCCAGGCACUGUGCUUGCUGUUGGAGCGACAGAGAUGAACAAACAUCUUGUUUGUUUUCUUUUUUUUUUAUUUAAAAAAAAUAUUUAUUUUUGAGAGGGAGAAAGCGGGAGAGCAACAGAGAGAGAAGGAGACACAGGAUCCGAAGCAGGCUCUAGGCUCCCGAGCCAUCAGCGCAGAGCCCGAUGCGGGGUUCGAACUCACAAUCAGUGAGCUCAUGACCUGAGCUGAAGUCGGACGCUCAACCGACUGAGCCACCCAGGCACCCCCCCCACACACACGCCAUCUUGUUUGUUUUCAAGGAGCUCCUGGUACAAGGGUGGAAAGCCAAGGUACCUACAGGGUCUAGUCUGGUGACAUAAAUGAGGGAAGUGGACCAGGUGUGAAUAAGGAACAUGGGUAAGAGAAAUAUUUUAUUUUCUUCUUCCGCUGUAAAAAAAAAACAAAAACAAAAACAAAAAAACCCACAAUAUUGCAAGAGUUAUGACAAAUGGCUCUGAGAUGAGGCUUAAAUGCAGAGACUAUAGAGCAUGGUGGGGACUGUGGAGAAAUAAACAGUGCUCUAUCCGAAGGGGGCCACUACCACAAGGGUGGAGAACUGCAUCCGUCUUACUGGAUUUCCAGUUUGUUCAAGAGAAGCCAGAAACUGAAAAAAAAAUUUUUUUGCGCAAUCUCUUUUUAAUUUUUGGCAAUGAAUGCAAAAAAAUUUUUUAAAAACACCAUGUGGGCCCAAAAAAGUACAGGCCAAGCAAGUAAAACAUAAUUCUCUCUGAAUGCCAGAUCUGAGUCUGAGGGUCCAGUGUGUGAUCUCCAGUCCAAUUGGAAAGACAGAUGGGAGUUUGGGCGAUUUUGACACAGCUUGGCUUAGAAGCUGAUGUCUUCUCUCCGAGGUGGAAUUACAUUUACCAAGCUCAUGGGACUGAUGUGGAAAAUCGGAACGUCAGUGUAUUCACUGAUAACGAGAAAUAUAAUUGCUGAGAAGACUGGAAUACUCUCAUCAGUGUGACCAGCACAUUCUUUCCCGGAGGCAGAUCUAAGUGAAAAGCCAAAUUAUACAAAGAAGGUGGCUUGGCGAGCAUUUGAUCAUUGAGUUCGAUUGAUGAAGAGCCUAAUGCAGGUCUCCAUUGAAUGUCAACGUCAAACAUUGUACUGGACAUUAGGUGGAGGAUGGUGAAUAAGAGAGAUGGGUCUCCGUGCUCACAGGUUCUAAGGCACUGGGGGAAGACAGGCCCUGAACAGGUAAUGAGACUUCUAGGUUAGAAAAACUACACCCCUUACCCUCUGCUUCCUCCCCGAACCUACGAAAAUAACAGUACAGGAAUUGUUCUGAAAAGGCAAAACGCAAAGACAGAGGUCUGCAAACCACGGUCCACAGGCCAAAUCUAGCCCGCUGCCUGUUUCGGGACAGCCUGUCCUAAGAAUAGUCCUAUAUUUGCAAAUGGCUGGAAAAAAAUCAAAACCAGAAUAACAUUCUGUGACACGUGAAAAUGAUAUGAAAGUCAGAUUUCAGAGUGCAUAAAUAAAGUUUUGUGGGAACGCGGCCAUGCAUUCCAAUGCAGGUCCCAUGUAUUGUCUACGGCUGCUCUCGUGCUACCAUGACAUAGUUAAGUAGGUGCGAAGGAGGCCAUAUGGCGUGCAGAGCCAAAAAUAUUUACUAUCCGGCCCUUUACAGGAAAAAAAAAAAUCCCAACCCCUGCUCUAGAACAGCACCGUCCAAUGGAACUUUCUGCAGUGACGGAAGGGGUCGUGUACCGCCAUCCGAUAUGGUAGCUGGCCACUAGCUCCAUGUGGCUACUGAGCCCUUGAUAAGUGGCUGGUGCAACUAAGGACCUGAACGUUUAUUUUAUUUAUUUUAAUGAAUUUAAAUGUGAGUAGCUGGCAGAAGCUGCUGUGUUGGAUGGCACAGCGGUCGACUAUGACAAGAGGGCAUCUGGGCUGGGAAACACCACGUGUCGUGGAAGAUGGGACAUCCGCCGGAAAGCAGGGGGAUUAAGUGAAAGUUUACAUAUGGAAGCCUGGCAUGCCCCACCCAAUCUUCUUACAGGCUGCUUUCCUGACCUAGAUUCCAGAAUGCUGGCAGGGAGAAUUACACUCUCCUAAAAAGAAGCUGGGGGAACCAUCUCUGGGGAAUUUGACCAGCUCGGGAGGAAGGACCUAAACAUGCGUUGGGAGCUUCCUAAUCGUCAUACCAAAUUGGCAGUGAAGAGACCCCCUGCCAAUCACAUAGCAUUCAGUAACCUUUAGCCUAGGUCCCACCCUCCCCCAUGAGCAGGCGGCCAAGGGCCCUCGUACAUUCGAGGAACAAUGUAAACGCGAAAGAGACCAAACAGAUGGACAGAUCUAAGCGAAGAUCUCUGGGCGCACGUAUUUUGUUAAAUUUGGAGGUCUAUAAUGCUGGAAGAGAAAAAUGGCCUUUCUUUUCACUAAGUUCAAGGCAGCAUUUUCUUCGCUUACAAACAUAAGCAACAAACUGUAGUAGUGUUAGCAGUUUCUGUGACUUCAUCAUCAAUAGAAACCAGGUAUUUUCCCACCAUGAUGGUAUUGUUGGAGUCAUUUCAUAACAUCAUUUAUGCUCGUCGUGACUUUGAAAUGAUGGUAGUCAUUAGACACCCUGCUAAAUCUUGUAAUAUAGAAGCACAUAUGUCACUAUAUGACAGAUUUGUUUUUUAAAUAUUUUGAUAAGUGUAUGUUGAUGUAAAUGAUUUCCUUUGUAAUCCUGUGCAUAGAAGUUGAUUCAUUUAAAGAUAAUUACGCUGAGAAAAGGUCCACAGUCUCCACCUGACUGCAGAGGGGUCCAGGGCACAAGAAGGGUUCUCUUUAGGAUGGCUAGGGAAUGGAGAUCGUAAUCGGUAAGCACUUUGUGCCAGAUUUUAAACCUCAGAAUUCUAAGAGUAAUUAUUAUUAUUACUUUGAUAGCUUUCCUUAGUACUUAAAAUAUUCAUUUUGUCAUUGCAAUGGGAUAUUUGGAGGGGGAGAGAAUCAUAGAAGGACUUAAUCAGCCCCCUUGACCCGAAAGUUCAGUUUUCUUUUCUAAAAAUAGUACGUGCACAUCAUAAAUAAGCUAGAAAAGUACAAAGAGGACAACAAAAAUCACCUCCAAUCCCACUACCUAUUUGGCGAACAUUGUUCUGGGCAGCAUUGUGUGCAUAAACACAUAACAUACACGUAUAUCCACACAAACAUAUAAAGAUCAGUGUAUGUAUAAAGAUAUAUACGUAAUUAUAGGGGCACCUGGGUGGCUCAGUCCGCUGAGCGCCCGCUUUUGGUUUGGCCCAGGUCAUAAUCUCACGGUUUGUGGGAUCCAGCCCCCAAGUCAGCUCCAAGCUGACAGCACAGAGUCUGCUCGUGAUUCUCUCUCCCCCUCUUUCUGCUCCUCCCCUACGCACAAUCACUUGUUCUCUAAAUAAAUAAAUGUGAACAAAAUAAAGUUAAAGACAUAGACAUAAUUUUUGACAAAAACAGAAUCAAAGUACACAUUUAUUAUUAUUUUAUUUUUUACUACACAUUUAUUAUUAUCAUUGUAUUUUUUACCCUGCGUUUAUCUUCUAUAGUAAUAACAAGAAUUGAGGCGGGUAAUUAUUUUCACCAGUCAGUUAAGGAAACUGAGACUCAGAUAAUUAAAGCCUGGUGCAUGGUCACAGGUGGUGAGAGAGAAAAAUCUCUUGGUCAUCCCAGAAUGACUUACUGUUCAAGGACCCCAUGUCUGUGAGCGGGGAAGCCUGGAGUUCAACUGGACUGAGAGAGCUUCACCCUCCCAGCUGCACUUACCCAAAAGCUUGUGACCCGAAAUCUUUGUGAUUUGGGGGGAUUCUAGCUCGGGUGCAGGUGACCCAUAUGCCAAGUCCCAAAAGAGAUCCGCUGAGAAGCUUCAACUGAAUGAUCAUACUCGGAGGCAGGAAUCUGGCACAUCCUGGGCUCCUUUCCGUAUUUCCAUUCUGAUUCCUUUGGGAAGCAAAUAGGGGCAAUUCUUCUCAUUAACUCCAAAUGCAGCCCUUCGUGGGCACCACGUGCUGCGGUGGACAGAUGGAAAGCCAUCCACACAAAGGCUGACCUCUCCAUCCCGUCUGGCUCCCUGGAACUGGAGGAAGAUGAGACAAAGUGGACUUCCUGAGGUCCGUCCCAGAAUUUAUUUAAUCUGCAGGAUCCCAAAGCUCGGUGGGGCUGCAUCAGGAUCACCUGAGGAGCCUGUUGAAAGCAGUGAUGCAAGGUUCUGAUUCUAGAGUAGUGGAUGUCAACCUUGGCUACCCAUUAGAAUCACCAGGGAAGCCUUUAAAAAACAAAAUGGCGGAGUAGGCAUGUUAUGGACUGAAUGUCAUCCCCAAAUUCCUGUGUUGAGACCUCACCCAUCUCCUAUCAAUGUAAUGGCAUUAAGAGGUGGAGCCUUCGGGAGGCCUGACCUUAGACGAGGCCGGGAGGGAGGAGCCCUUUAAUGGGAUUAGUGCCCUUACUGGGCUCACCCGAGAGCUGUACUUCCUGUAUCUGCUCUCUGCCUUGUGAGGGUACAAUAAGAAGCUGGCAGUCUGCAGCCUAGAAGGGGGGUCCUCGCCAGAACCUGGCCAUGCCAGCACCCUGAUCUUGGACUUCCAGCCUCCAGGAAGGUAAGAAAGAAAUUCCUGUUGUUUAUUAUAAGCCACCCAGACUGUAAUGUUUUUGUUAGAGCAAUCCAAACUACUGCUCAGACAAGGCGCUCCGAGCUCCCCCAGAGAAACAUUGAGAAAGCAAGCAGACACUAUCAGAACUAACUUUGUCAGAACUCUGGAAAACCGUCAAGGUUUAUAGCAACCAAGUGAAUGCUGAACGAAGGAAAAAGCAACUUGAAAACGGCUCAGUGCAAACAGGGGUGCCAUCUGAGGCAGAGUUGUGAACAGCCCGGCUGAGUGUUGAAGGAGCACCCCAGCACAGAGGCAGUCUGCAAAUACUGGGUGGUGUGUGUGUGUGUGUGUGUGUGCGCGCGCGUGUGAUUGAUGUAUAGUUGGUACAUCAUGUUAUAUUAGCUUCAGGUGUGCAACAUAGUGAUUCACCAUCUCUAAUACGUUAUUCUGUGCUCACAAGUGUAGCUAGCAUCUGUCACCAGACAUCACUCUUAAGAUACCGUUGACUCUAUUCCCUAUGCUGUGCCUUUCAUCCCUGUGACUUAUUCAUCCCAUGACUGGAAGCCUGUACCCUCCAGUCCCCUUCACCCGUUGUGCCCAUCUCCUUCCUCUCUGGCAAUGACCACUUCUGAGAGGUGUGUUUUGUUUUGUUUUUAAAGUUUAUUUAUUUGAGAGAGCGAGAGAGCACCAGCGGGGGAGGGGCAGAGAGAGAGAGGGAGAUAGAGGAUUCCAAGCCGGUUCCAUGUUGUCAGCACGGAGCCCAACACGGGGCUCGAACCCAUUAACUGUGAGAUCAUGACCCGAGCCGAAAUCAAGAGUCGGACACUUAACUGACUGAGCCACCCAAGGCACCCCUUGUUUGUUUUGUUUUUAGUUCCUGGUGUUCAAGGAAAUCUCUGUCAAAACUCCGUGGAGCAUGAGCUAAAGGAACAGAGACAUCAGUGACUUCAUGUGAGUUUAUGUUCAUUUGCUACAGCAGCGGUAGGAAGCUAACGCAGCGCUCAUUGAACGUUCGCUCUGGCCGUUGGGGAGGAACUUCAGCUCCAUGUUACCUGUGGUCAUUGUGUUCAGUAAAUACUGAUCACAAUAAACAUAAUGAAUACGAGAACUCGCCGGAAGCGGUAUAGCAGGAGGUCUGUUCCUUUUCUGCUUAACUGUUGGUGUCGGAAGCAUCUGAAAGUACUUUGUUCAGUUUUUUAAAAAAAUCUGUAAUUCUGAACCGGUUACUUUAUUCCACGGUGCAGGCCUGAUUCCACACUUUGGCGAAAGUGAAUAAUUUUUUAACAGGUAGAGGCGGCGGUGAAAUGGAACACACCUCAGGUCGGAAGUCCGAAAGUUGGGCCCUGGUCUCAGCUCCACCUCUAUCUGGCCGUGUGACUUAGGUCAUCUUGCCUCCUCUCUUUGGGUUUUGUUUUCCCCAUUCAGAAAAUGAAGGAAUUAGAUCCAUAAUAACUCCCAUGUGUCAAAUGCCUGCAAUGCACAAUUUAUACAUGUGGUCUCAUUUGAGCCACAUAAAAACUGUGCAAGGUAUCAUCCCCAUUUUAUAGUUGAGAAAACGGAGAGGCCCAGAGAGGUUAAGUGACUUUCCCAAGGUCACGGAGUAUCAGGCAGAGCUG